UCUCAGGCGGUCCAAAUAUCCAAAACUGAGCUCAGAAUUUCUGGUGGUUAGACAAAAGCCAGCAUUUCUCAGGAAUUUGUGAAAUCAGUCCCCAUUUGGCCAAAGGAGUCAUUUCCCUUACCUCUGGCAUAUGACAACUGUGGUGGCUAUCAUGUAUCAAAGUCUAUGCUGGCCUCCACGGUCCAUCAGUAUCACACGAUUGCUGUUAAGCUUUCAAAGUCCCCACUAACAUCCCGGUUCCUUCCUCGCCCAGCUACUCAUCCUGCUUAUAAUUCUGCCCCUCAUCCCUCUCUCUGCCCCCACUCUGGCUCCCGGCUCUAUCUGUUGCUAUCCCUUCGCUCUCUCCAAAAACUUUGUUCUCCUGCCAUCUUGAUGUCUCCACUAUUCUCUUCCAUUCUCCCGAUUCCCUAGCCCUGGCCACGCCCACUCUGCUUUCUUUUCUCCCUGCUCUACACUCUUCCAGAUGCCUCUGGAUAUUUUCUCUCAUUUAUUCACAAGAAAACCCUUCCCCUAAUAACGGAGUACACAUGUCCACAGCUUCCUUACUGCACCUCCUCACAUACGUAAGUUACGCAUGCAUAUUCUGAUGUAGCAAAAAUAUGUUUAGUCUCCGCUAUUAGUUCAUGAAGUAGAGCUCCUAAAUGCCUCUGAGUUUCCUGAGCCAUACAGGAUGUUUUAUUCUAAGCAGUUGUCUCUUAGUGGGCACAUAGGAAGUGUCAGGAUGGGUGCUGGUCACCAGAAAAACCAAGUCACAGAGUGUACCGCUUCCAGGAUGAAUUAAUAUGUGAUCACACUUGCAUGAUGAAGCCUCCAUAAAGAUCCAGAGAAAAGUUCUGUAUCAAACCUAUCAUGUGCCUAUCACUGAUGUUUGCCCAGCUCCACAAGCGACAGAAGGGUCUGUGUUCCGGAUCCUUCCAGACUUCACACUAAGUUCUUCACAAGCCAUUCCCCUGUAUGUUUUAGCCUCCUUCACAGUGAACCAGCAGGUGAAUUUCCUGAAUUCUAUGUGCCAGCGCAGCGAAUCAUCAAGCCAGAGGAAGGGGCUGUAGCAACCGCCAUAGUGCUAGAAUUACAGGCAUACAGCACUUCAAUCCCUGCUUUAUGUGGGAGAGCUGGGGACCAGCAAAGCCCAGGACUUUACACGCGCCGGACAAGGACUCAACCAACUGAGUUACCACUCCAGCCGACCUCUCACAGUCUCGACUGGUGACCGAACCGUGUCAAGGGCAUUGGCAGGGUCACACUCAGAGCAGUUUUGCAGAAGCAAAUGCUCAGCCCUGCGCUGGUCCUGGUGCUCCAGGACUGCACACCUACCUGGAGGAGAGACUGAGAUUUACUGUCCUGCCGUGUCUCCCAACAAAACAUCAUCAUCUAAAGCAUCUGCACACUGGCUGUGACCUCCAAGUCUCACUCAAGUGGACCCCAAGAAGCAAAAGACUUCCUGGUGCUGUGACCUCCCAGAAGACCGCGCACCCCAAUCCUGUGAUGGUGACUGUGGAAGAUCUCACAGGGUUGUAGCUCAGUGGCCGAGUGCUUGCCUGCCCUCCGUACGACCCAGAGUUCAAGUUCCAGCACUUCUAGCUCCCCCACUCCAAAUCACUUCUGGAAGGUAUUCGAUGACUUGUGGAGAACUCACUGAGGAAAGCUUUAUUCAGAACAAGAAAACCAAUAAAGGGGCUCUACAGGGGGAGAGAAAGUCUGGCCUCUGUCUGUGGAAUAUUAGUUUAAGAUGUGUUACAUUCAU